rnacentral:lncRNA from 1 species
CAUCUGUAAACGAUAAUUGACAAUGCAAUCGUAAUCGUAAACAGAAUCUUAAUCAGGCCAGCAAUCGUAAAUAUAAUUGCAAUUGGCUUUUUAAUGCCCCAAUUAAUGCGCAAUUUAAUUGAUUAUCGUACAAUUUCUGGCUUUGAUUAAUAUUCUAUUUACCGGUGCUAUUUGCAAAGCAACGGUUUCGUUCUUAUUUAAUGUCCGCUUUGUAGCCCUUUUUUAAAUGCCCGAGCAAUGCUCAGUCUUAACCCAUCCUCCCUAUUUUCUGGCCUGUUAGCGCGCGCCACCAAGCGGACACGGCGAAACUAGUACUUCCCCCUUCAUGGUGUUCACAUGAGGCGGCAAAGGCAGACAAGAUAUAGAUGCAAAGAAGAGAUAGGCAAUUGUAUCAAGGAUUUUUACCAAUAUUUUCAGCCCCAGCGGUUUUUCAUCCUCCAUUGUUAUCGUCGCAACUCGCAAAUCCAGUUCAGAGAGGCAUGGCAGAUCAAAUUCCGAGAUACCAUGACAACAAUUCACCUGGUGUCACAAACCAAGUUUACAACUACAAUCAGAAAAAUUCACCUGGUGUGUCAAACCAAGUGCUCCACAUGACUGCAAACAGCUCGCCUGGUGUUGCAAACCAAGUAUUGAGAAUGAUUACUGAUUUGGCUUCGCAGCUUCAACAGCAGUCAGCACAGCAAGGACAAGGUGUUGAUUUUGGCUCUGACAAUCUUGAUUCACCUGGUGUGUCAAACCAAGUGCUGAACAUGACUGCUAACAGCUCACCUGCUGUGGCAAACCAGGCUGAGAGACUAGAUGACUAUGGGAAUCUGUAUGUUCUUUGAACUGCUCACCAGUUGCUUCUGCUUAACGACCAAACUCAAAAGUCAUUGGAUGCACAUCAGCUUGCCAUUUAUUUAGGAUGAACCUGGUAGAGACGGAGGAGAUCCCGAUGAUUGGGACCAAACUGUUCAUACUAUUCCCGCUGUGGAUGUCGCUGCUUUUCGUUGUCCAUUGAAUGCUGAGCAGUUAUUCGAGAUGGAGAGGCGCAUCAGAAAAGAACAGAUUGAUCUCGAAAAUUUACACAUACAUUAAAUACCAGGAUGUGAAAAAUUAUGUUUUGAACUCAUUGGUUAACUGAGCCCUUUUUAUUUGCCUUUCUAACACUUCUCACUCUGCCAACUCAUUCCAAUACGUGUCGAAAAUUGGCUGUUGAUGUGUAGAUAUUGCCACUUGCUGGUUCAUGUGAAAGUCAAUAAAAAGCGUAACGAUAGGUCUUAACGUUA